rnacentral:rRNA from 1 species
UACGAAGGGGGCUAGCGUUGCUCGGAAUUACUGGGCGUAAAGGGAGCGUAGGCGGACAUUUAAGUCAGAGGUGAAAUCCCGGAGCUUAACUUCGGAACUGCCUUUGAUACUGGGUAUCUUGAGUAUGGAAGAGGUGAGUGGAAUUCCGAGUGUAGAGGUGAAAUUCGUAGAUAUUCGGAGGAACACCAGUGGCGAAGGCGGCUCACUGGUCCAUUACUGACGCUGAGGUGCGAAAGCGUGGGGAGCAAACAGG